rnacentral:rRNA from 1 species
CCUACGGGAGGCUGCAGUGGGGAAUAUUGGACAAUGGGGGCAACCCUGAUCCAGCCAUGCCGCGUGUGUGAAGAAGGCCCUCGGGUUGUAAAGCACUUUCAGUGAGGAAGAACGCCUGGUGGUUAAUACCCAUCAGGAAAGACAUCACUCACAGAAGAAGCACCGGCUAACUCCGUGCCAGCAGCCGCGAUAAUACGGAGGGUGCGAGCGUUAAUCGGAAUUACUGGGCGUAAAGCGCGCGUAGGUGGCUUGAUAAGCCGGUUGUGAAAGCCCCGGGCUCAACCUGGGAACGGCAUCCGGAACUGUCAAGCUAGAGUGCAGGAGAGGAAGGUAGAAUUCCCGGUGUAGCGGUGAAAUGCGUAGAGAUCGGGAGGAAUACCAGUGGCGAAGGCGGCCUUCUGGACUGACACUGACACUGAGGUGCGAAAGCGUGGGUAGCAAACAGGAUUAGAUACCCGUGUAGUC